CGUCAGUUACAUCAGUUACGUGUACACGCAGCGCCAAACUGUCAGUUGAGAUGCCAGUUGAGGCUGUUAGCAGUCGAAGUCUGCAGUUUGCUCGUUUCUUCGCAAACCUGAGCGGAUGAACGGCGACAGGAGCGGCAGAACAGCGACUCACUGAACCAAAGACGACGGAAAGAGACAGCCAUGGGAGGCCUGCUAUCCAGAUGGAGGAUGAAGCCGACCACAGUGGAGCAGCUGGAGAACCUGGACAAGGAAAUCAAAGAGCUGGAGGAGUUCAGAGCCAAAAACCAGCGGCUGCAGAAGCUGUGGGUGGGCCGGCUGCUUCUCUACUCGUCUGUUCUCUACCUGCUGACGUCUCUGGUCGUCUACUGCCUCUACCUGCCUGAAGAGUGGCUGCAGAGGAUCGCCAUGGCCCUGCCUUUCUUCAUCUACCCCGUCCUCGUUUGGUUCAUCAGGAAGUUGUUGAUUUUCCUCUUUUCCAAACGCACCGAGAGAAACAAUGAUAAACUGGAAGACCUGAAGGUUGUCAAAAAGAAGAUUCUGGAGGAGGUGAUGGAAACAGAGACGUACAAAAACGCCAAACUCAUCCUGGAACGCUUCGACCCUGAAGCCAAGAAGAAAGCUGAGCUGGAGUCGACUCCAGUGCGUUCUCCGAUGACUCCCAGACCCGGACAAGAACUUCGGCAGAGGGGCAUCCCGAUGAGGCCGAUGCCGAUGGGAACGCCGGCCGCGAUGGGAAUGACGCCGCCACCCGGAGCCCGGCCGAUGAUGGGCCCAGGAGGGACACCUGUGGAACCUGUUCCUCUCUCAGCUCCAGGAGGACCGCCGGAGAGAUCCGCUCUGUCGGCCUCCAUCCUGCAGGGGGCAGCACCCAGGACGCCCUGUUCCCCCAUACCUGGUGUAGGUCUACAUCCUCCAGGUCCUCCGCUAGCCAGACCCAUCCUCCCCAAAGACAGAGGAGCUGUGGACAGAGUCAUCGAGUACCUGGUGGGGGACGGACCGCAGAACAGAUACGCUCUGAUCUGCCAGCAGUGUUUUUCUCAUAACGGCAUGGCGCUGAAAGAAGAGUUUGAAUAUCUCGCCUUUCGCUGUGCUUAUUGCUACUUCUUGAAUCCGGCCAGAAAGACUCGUCCUCAGGCCCCCAGACUGCCAGAGUUCAGCUACGAGAGGAGGCUGAGGGCUGAGUCCCGCUCCCCAGGACCAUCACCUCGUUCUGGGACGGACACGGAGGAGAGCGCGCCCCCCUCUGGAGCCAAAGCUCCGGCUCCACGGAAUCUGGUCCACAGUUUCUCCAGUUUCAGGAUCCAGCAGAAUCCAAAGACCCGUCAGAACCGACCUCUGCCGAGUCCAGAUGAGAAAGAGAUCGGAGAUGACGAAGGACCCAUGAAGGAGGCAGAGAGCCAAUCAGAGGAGCCGACACAGCAGCAGGAAGAGGAGGAGGAGGAGGUCCAGGAGGAGGAAGAGGAGGAGAAGGAGGAAGUCCAGGAGGAGAAGGAGGAGAAGGAGCAGAUCCACAGCGACUCCUGUGAACCUGAAUCUCAGCCGUCGUAGCUUCAGAGACGAAGGAAGGACGAGUCGGAGCAGAAGGCGUUGGUCAGAGGAGGAAACACUGAUGGAUUAGUUUGAGUUAAAGGUGGAGAAACACUGGAGUUUAUUUAUACAGGAAGUCCAGAUCCAGUCAGAGAAAGUUUAUUCUGGAGCAUCUCAUCAAACAGACGCUGUUCAGAGUGGUUUCUAAGUGAAAUCAGAUCAAACUGUUCAGGCAACGUGAAAAAGAUAAACACAGAGCUGACUGAUUAAAACAAAACAGAACAACAAAAACGACACACAGAACAACAAGUAAGACGAAACACAAAAUGACAGAAGUAAGACAAAAACACGAGCGAGACAGGAAACACAAAAUGACAAAAACACGAGACAAACGACGAGUUGGACAACAAAGAAAAAACAAAAACAAGACAAAAUAUUACAGAGAUGAGACACAAAAUAACAAAAAAUAAGAAACGAGACAGAAAUAAGACAAAUUUACAAAGCCACAAAAACGUACACAAAUGAGACCUAAAGGAAACAAAGCAACAAAAACAUGAGACAAACACCAAAAAUGAAACAUAAGGCAAAAAACAACAGAAACAUGACAAAAUAUUACAAAAGAGACACAAAAUGACAAAAACGAUACACAAAUCAACAAGUAAAGCAAAACACAAAAUGAUACAAAUAAGACAAAAAACACAAGCGAGACAUAAAAGUAAUACAAAACGAGAAAAACAAGACGAACGACGAAGUCAGACAAAAAACAACAAAAACGACAAAAUAUUGCAAAAAUUAGAAAAAUGACACGAAACAAAAGCGACAGAAAUUAGACCAAAGAAGUUACAAAGCUACAAAAAAAUUGACAAAAAUUACAUGAAUGACACAAACAAGACAAAGGAAACACAAAACGACAAAAAAGAGAAACAAAAUAUUACAAAAACGAGACGCACGAAAGAAAACCAAAGAGAGAAAAUUAGACAAAAGUUGUGACAAAAAUGACAAAACACGUAAUAAAGUCUAAUAAUUCAAAUACAGUUCAGGCAAGUUGAGUAAAAUGAACACAGAAGUGAUUAAAACAGAUCACGUAAGAUAAAAGUUAAAUACUGAAACCAGAGUCCUUCUUUAUAACAGCUGUCACACAGGAGUCAUACACGGAGAAUCUGAAGCUGCAUCACCAUUAUUGGUCUAGUUUAAACUGAAAAUCAGCUUCUUGUAAGAUCUGCUGUACCAGUAUUAUGGGAUGCAGCAGUAACAGAACUGCAGCUAAUACUACUGGUAGUAAAAACUCAGGAGAGACGGCGACAAGGUCAACAUUCAUCCAAGUCAUUUGAUAUUUAGUGUCUGCUCAUACCCAGUCCCAGUCUGGUGCCACUUCCCUCAUAAUACACACUUCAGCUACUUUAAAGUCUCUACAUCCAGUUUAUCUGCUGACUGCUAAAUAUCUCUGCAACGUUUGAAGAAAAAACAACUGAACUUCUGCCUCCAGUCGGUUCCUUAAUGUUCUGUAGCUGGAACCCUGUGGGAAAGCUCCAGUAGAACACUGUCUAAAUGUGGCACUAGAGGGUAAAAAUAGUGUUAGGGGGUAAAUGUAGUACUAGAGGGUAAAAAUAGUGUUAGGGGGUAAAUGUAGUACUAGAGGGUAAAUGUAGUACUAGAGGGUAAAAAUAGUGUUAGGGGGUAAAUGUAGUACUAGAGGGUAAAAAUAGUGUUCGGGGGUAAAUGUGGUACUAGAGGGUAAAUGUAGUACUAGAGGGUGAAUGUGGUAUUAGAGGGUGAAUGUGGUAUUAGAGGGUGAAUGUGGUACUAGAGGGUAAAAAUAGUGUUAGGGGGUAAAUGUAGUACUAGAGGGUAAAAAUAGUGUUAGGGGGUAAAUGUAGUAUUAGAGGGUAAAAAUAGUGUUAGGGGGUAAAUGUAGUACUAGAGGGUAAAUGUAGUACUAGAGGGUAAAAAUAGUGUUAGGGGGUAAAUGUAGUACUAGAGGGUAAAUGUAGUACUAGAGGGUAAAAAUAGUGUUAGGGGGUAAAUGUGGUACUAGAGGGUAAACAUAGUGUUAGGGGGUAAAUGUAGUACUAGAGGGUAAAUGUAGUACUAGAGGGUAAAAAUAGUGUUAGGGGGUAAAUGUAGUACUAGAGGGUAAAAAUAGUGUUAGGGGGUAAAUGUAGUACUAGAGGGGUAAAAUAGUGUUAGGGGGUAAAUGUAGUACUAGAGGGUAAAUGUAGUACUAGAGGGUAAAAAUAGUGUUAGGGGGUAAAUGUAGUACUCGAGGGUAAAAAUAGUGUUAGGGGGUAAAUGUAGUACUAGAGGGUAAACAUAGUGUUAGAGGGUAAAUGUAGUACUAAAGGGUGAAUGUAGUGAUAGAUAGUAGGUUGCACUGAGGCUCCAUAAAAUCUGUUUUCUCUCCGUGACGUCAGUAAAUGUAGAUCAGCUGUAGUUCCUGGUUGUUCCACCAGGUGGAGCCUCUUCCUGUUUAAUCCUGUAGAGACCAGAGGAGGUUAAAGCAGAGAGCAUUGUGGGAGUUUGCAGCAACGGGCACCAUGACAACGACUGCUGUUGGUUAAUGAGCUCCAAGCAGACAAACUGGGAUCGACCAGGACAAAGCUGUGUUUGUUCUCAGAUCAUGCGGCGAUCAUUUGUGAUGAUUAUUUAUUAGGACAUAUUUCAUAAUCAGCAUCCUGCUACAGCUUAGGCUCUGUUAACGACGCCUGUGUGACAGCAGACAUAAAUAAAAGAUCAAAUCAGUUAAAAACACCUCAAACAUCUUUGAAUCCAACAUACAUACCUCUUGUUUAGUCCUGAACUCGUCUGUCGGUUUUCUCUAAAAUGCCUCCAACAGUUUGAAGGUUUCAGAAGUUUGAGUCUGGCUUUACGUUCACGUUGCUCUGAUACUUCAGAUUUAAAGGAACUUUUAACGCAGCUCUUUGAUUGGUUCAUAGGUUUUAUUUUUUACAUUCACACGAGGUUCAUCCUGAAAUCUGAACCUGAUGUUCGACAAAGUACAAGAAGAAUGGAGAUCAGGGUGGACCAACGUCAGCGUUGACCAACCUGAUCUCCAUUCUUGUUGGAGUUUCUGUUUCCUAAAUCAUAGCAGAACCAGUGUGAGAAGUUAAAAGACUUUGUACUGACGUUAUAAAUGGAAUAAUAGAGUGAAAGUAGGUGAUAGCAGAUGAUCUUCAUGGUGUUAAACUGACAACACUCUGCUCAGAUCAGCUGGAAAUAAGGACGUCUGGUAUUAGAGUGAAUAGUUCUGAAUGUGUAGCACAAACUGAUCGCUUUUUUCUGAAAAAUGAACUAAACACAGAAUCUGACGACAUCUUUAGAGUGUUUUUAAGAGUUCUUCAAAGUGAGAAAAAACUUCCAAACAGAAAUGCUGCAGAUGAAACAGCAAACGGCUCAUAUUUACAUGUAAAAGCUUCUCCAUCUUCCUAAUCUCUGCAGAGUUUCUGUGUUUCGUUCUCUUUUCUCGCUGUUUCCAGCGUUUUCCUGGAAACAGAAUGCAGAUUCACGACGUUCAGAAAAUGAGUUUUACUGACAUGAAUGUGGGGAAAGUGAUCAUUUAGAUGGAUUAGUUGUUUUUAUUAAUAUGUUAGAGGUAGCAUUUGCCAAAUGCAGUUUAAUAUUAGUUAUAGGAACUGACAAAACUGAACCUUGAAGAAGCUCAAACUGCCAGUUUGUCCGCCUGGUCGUUGCCAGUCGUCGUUCUCAGCAGAUCUUCAUUUGCCAAAUGCUUUCUGUUUGAUCCGUAUUUCCUGACUUCAUUCAUUUGCACUGUUUUUUACUGUUUUUUUUUUAAUUUAUUUGGCCUUGUUGUUUUUUAUUUAGUGCUGCUGGUUGGAACAUUUAGACGUGAAGUCAGGUCUGAAGGUUUAGUUUUGCUUCUGUAGCCUUUGUUAGCAUCGGUUCACAGAUUUAACAGUUUUCUGCUCAAUUCUUAGAUUUAUUUUAUAUGUUUGCAGUCAGUGCCACCAGAGUUUGUGCCUCAGUUUACUGCUGGAAUAUUUAUCAUUUUACACGUCUUAUUUAUAGAUUUGUAGUCUGUUUGUCAGCACUUACAUGUAGUGCUCAUGAUUUAAAAAAAUGUCUAUGCAAAUGUAAAUAUGUGGUCGCCUGAGUUCGAGAGCUCUGAGGACUGAACUACGGAACAGGAUUCAUAAAUCCAGACUUUCUUUGAGUUAGUUGGAUCAACAAAACCUAAAAAUCAGAAAUGAAGAGCAAAACAUUCUUUGUUCAUCAGGUUUUCUUCUUCAGGAACGGGUUGUUCUAAUGGAGAUCCAUGAAGAAUAAGAUCAGUUAAAAAGCAGCACUGAUGCUGUGAAUGAUGCCAGAGAUUAAUGCUGUAAGUUAAUAAAGUGACUCUGAGCUGCACGUUAAAGCUCAGAAACCUUAAACUUCUUCAUUUAAACAAUCUGAUACUGUCCCAGAGGAAGGAGACGAGGAAAUCAGUUUAGUUUCUGAACAAAUCCUGGUGAAAUCAAUGUUUCUGAUUGAUAAAUAUCAAUAGACUGAUCAAUUUUCUGAUCUGUGUUCAAAUCGGACCAGAUAGAAAAACAUUUGUGUUUAAAAUCCCCGAUGAUGAACAGAACCUCGUCUGGAGCAGGUUAGCUCCACAGCAUCAGUUACCAUGGAGAUCUGGCUCCACAGCAUUAGUUACCGUGGCGUUCUAGCUCCACAGCAUCAGUUACCAUGGCGAUCUAGCUGUGCAGUAUCAGUUACCGUGGCGUUCUAGCAGGUUUACGACAUUGAAACUCUGACUUCAGCCUCAUCUAACCUGCUAACUCGGUGUUCCUGCUUCGUAGCUCCGCCCUCUGAUUCCAGAAACGGAUCCAGGAUAAAGUGAGAGAAAAAAAUCAGGUGAAGUUUACAGACAACACAUUAAAUCCUGUUUAGUGUGAAUAGAUUUAGAUUCUUACUCUGAUCCUGUAAGAGUUUCUGAUUUGUUUUUGACGCUUCAAAGCGACUCAAUCGUCUGGCAGAAGUUUGAAGAAGUCAAAGCUGUGCUGAACGUUGUUGGAGUAACGCUGCCUGCUCUGGUUUACUGACUACAAUAUCGACAAGCUGUUUGUCCCGAUAAUAAACGCUGGUGAUGAAAAUCAAACCAUAAUGUAAUAUUUAAAGGAUCCUCAUUGAGAAAACCUGUCCUCUUUCUUUGCUUUGCUUGAUUUAUCUGCUGCAUUCCAGCCAAUGCUGUUUGUCAUGAAAUGUGUGCAUGGCACGCCCAAUAAAGUUUUUCAAAGUUGA